rnacentral:rRNA from 1 species
ACAGAGGCCUCGAGCGUUAGGCGGAAUCACUGGGCUUAAAGCGUGUGUAGGCGGGCCCGUAAGUGUCUUGUGAAAUCCCCCGGCUCAACCGGGGAACGGCUGGGCAUACUGCGGGUCUUGGGCCGACUAGGGGCAGCCGGAACAAGCGGUGGAGCGGUGAAAUGCGUAGAUAUCGCUUGGAACGCCGAAGGUGAAAACAGGCUGCUGGGGUCGCGCCGACGCUGAGACACGAAAGCCAGGGGAGCAAACGGGA